GGGAGUGGUGGUUGGCUCGCAGCGGCGCCCGCGGCGCUUCACCGUCCGGUGGCUUGGACCCUCGAUCUGGCGAUUGCGACCGCUAGCAGUCACCUGCUCACGCGCAUCGUAGCUGGGAGCUGGGUCGGUUCGGCGGCCGUCGCGGUUCAGUCUAGCCGGCGCCUACCGCAUCUGCACCAAGAUGCUGAAGGUCACCAGGAGGACAAUGUCGAGCCCGGCCAGGCUGCUUGCUGCUUCCCACAACCUAGUGGCACAGCAAUCAACGGAGGAGCGCAAAGAGAGGUUCUGACGAUCUACCUGAGUUUUGGGCGUGGCUGAUGAAGAUGGUGGCCGGAAUUUUGAAUCUUGAAACUAGCUAAAUUUGUAACGGAUAGAAUAUAUAUGAGUUUAUUUGUAAUUUGUAAAAUCUUUUUUUUUGUUUCUUAAAUUCGUUACUGCUGGCGCAUAGCCUUCGUUGCCGGGGGUAACUGAUUUUAAUUUUUUUUAGUUCUUUAAAUAUGUA